GGAUAAAAGUGAUCUGGCUAUGGCCUCUAUCACUCCAGUUAAUUGCCAAGGUUGAUUGGGCUGCUCUGGUUGGCUGGUGUCCACUUCCUCCCUUACCACUCCAAGAGCCUCACUCCCAAAGCCACACACAUGGUCAAAAAUGAUGGCUCUGCGCUACUUAGACAUGGACUAUUCUUUGGUCUGUAAUAUAGAAUUGCAUUCCCCUGCUAGUACCACCAAGCUCUCAAGAUUCACCUAUGAAAAUACAAUGAAUUAUUUUAUAAGUUACAUUACAAUAAAUAGGCUGGCCAUCAGUAGUUAUU
rnacentral:snRNA from 1 species